UUGUCUCUAAUAGCAUAUACACUAAAACUAGGAUAAUGCAGAGAAGAGUGGCUUGACCCCUGUGUAAGGCUGAUAAGCAAAUUCAUGAAGCAUUCCAUAUAUAU